GCGAGCCCUUCGGGCAGCCCGAGCUCCGCCCCACGCUCCCACGGGCCUCAGCCUGACGGCUCCUAAGCCUGCCAAUCACGGCCCGCCUUUCUCCGUCCGCCCUGUCCAAUCACAGCCGCCCUUUCAAACCGGAAGCGGUCCCGCCAAUCUCAGCCCGCUCAGUCGCGGCUCGCCGCCUCAGACUGGCCCCGCUCGCCCGUACGUCUGAGGCGCCGCUCCCGCCACCGCCGCUUUGGGAGCCGGCGGAGCAGCGUCCCCGCUGCCGCUGCCUCGGCAGGCGCUGUUGCGGACGGGAAGGGCGGCCGGGAGCUUCCAGUUCAGGUCCUGGUCGGGAUCAGGUUCUGGUCCAGGGAAGCGGGCAGGCGGCGGGGAGCGGGCGGACGCGGCCACAGCAAUGGCGGCGGCGGGAGCAGCGCUUGAGGGGACCGCGGGGAGUCGCGGAUCCGAGCGCGGCGGGAAUUGGCGGGCUGGGAUUGGUGGAGCCGGCAGGCGCUGCUUCGGGUUGUGAUUGGCUGGCUGUCCGCCCGUGGGGCAUAAAUAGCGGGCGUUGGAGAGGCAGCGGCGUCAGUUCGGCGGUGAAGCUGGGAGCGACGGGAGCUGCGGAUGCGCGGUCCGAGGAGCGGCGCUGCGGCAGGACGGGACCCCCGCGGCAGCUGAUCCGGGGAGCGCUGCCCCAAGGUGCAGUGAGAAGCAUGAGCAGCUUUUAGCUGCAGCCAGUAGGAAGCUGAGGAGCUGGAGCUGAGGCAGCAGACCUGGAGGAGACAGAAAUAUGGGUACUCGCAAAAUCUGUCUCCCUUAGAGUCCCACAGGAACGUUCUCAGUGCGAUCUCUAUCAAGUGCUAUGAGUCUUGAUAAAUGGGAGAAGAGCCCAAGAGAAAUUUUUCAUCCCUUGAUAUAAAAGGGAUCGGUGAAUUUUAACUUUGGAGUCCUCUAUGCUAAGGAUGCUCAGCUUACAGAUGAUGAAAUGUUCAGGAAUGUAUUUGCUGCAGCUCUGCUUACCCAAGCUUUGGGUUCCUUCUGUCCCACUGGGAGUUGCCCAAUUUGGUUGCAUAUGGUGAAAUUCACCCUGAGACCUUACAGAACCAGCUCCAACUACGUCAGAGCCAUUUGCAGUUCUCUCCAGACACCUGGAGAAUGGGCGACAUUUCUGAGGAUCCGGCGAGCGUGCUUCUAUCAAAACUCAGUCUGUGAAAUUUCUGGGGAAAACCCUUCUGUGUCCUGAAGGGUUCAAACUCUGGUGAGGAUCCAGUUAUCAGGUGCUCACCUGGAUGGUUCCAGCCCUUAAAGUGAGCACUUGUACUCUUGCCCUGUAGUUUACAUCUAUUGUAUUUUUGUUAUUUUCAAGAUUUUUUGUCUUUGCAAAAUAUUGUGCAUUUCACUCUUUGGAACCUCUCAGAUGGUUCUUUGGUGCAGCACCACCCCAUGGGACACUUGGCUGCUGUCCUGAAGGGGUUGAUCGCUAGAAUUGUAAAUCCUGGAGAGUUUAUAAGUCUUCUGUCCCCAGGGAGGUACCAUGCUUUGUUUACUUUUUGUUCUGUUGGUUAGGCGCUGCUUCUCGUUGCAAGUAUGAAUUUCAAACUGCCCUGUUCUUAUUUUAACUGUUUUCCUGGUUCUCUCCGUCCGACAGGGAAAGACUCUCGUAUCCUUGUCGUCGGGCUCGGUGCUGUCCAAGAAGAUACAGAGACUAAAAAAAUCAUAAGAAGCAAAAUAUGACUGCAGGGAAAAGAAGCUGGAGAGAACAGAAGACUCAUCACGGCGGGACAGCGUGAGGACUGAAAGUGUAAGAAGAUGUGGAGGGAAACAGAGAAUCUGACAGGAGCAGCGAACGCACGAGUGCACGAAUUUUGCUUUUUGCUUGGAUGUAAACUCAGGAGUUGAGAGGAAUUUGGGAGUGAGAAGGGACAUUUUAGAAGGAGAAGAAGAAAAAGAAGUUGUUGUUGUUGUUGUUACAGUCCUGGCAAAAUCUUUUGUUCUAGCUAAUAAAAGAAGUUAGUUUAAAAAACAAAAAGGAAAAAAUGUAGUGUUUUUUUUUUACUUCACUAUUAUAUUCAUUGGUGGUAUGUGGUGUGUUGUUUUAUUUCAUGGUAUUAUUAACUCGGUGUAAAUUGUUUUUUGAGUGAAGCUGACUUUCUGGAUGGGUUGGUUUGUAUUUGAGGCAGGAUUAAUUUCAAUAGGGUUCUUUCAUAGAUUUCUGAUGGGUAUUACUGGGAUUUUGGUUUUGUCUACUGUAUGUAUAAACAUAGAGCUUUGGUAGGGCCAGCUGGGCUGCUGGAGUUUUGGGUGUGAAUUUAUUAGAUGGCUUUUGUUAAAUGCAGUUUUUAAUUUUUGAAAUGUUUUUCAAUGUAGUGGUCUUAAGGUGGUUUUUAAGAAUUCCUUGUAUUGUUUUCUGUUGUGUGUAGCUGGUGUAUGAUAAGGGAUGUGGUGUGACUUCUUGAACGCUAUGGUUUUGGUGUUCCUAAGUUCUGAUUUCUUUCUGGUUCGAUAGUUUUUUUAAUUUUUAUUUUUUGGGACAGGGGCAUUUAUAUGGUGGGUUUUUGUAGGCAAUACGUUUUUUAAUUUGGGUAGUGAUAUUUUUUAGUAUUUUAAUGGUUUAGGUUUUUUAUUUUCGUGGGUUUUAUGUGGAGAGUAUUAUUAAUAAUUGGUUAGCUGAGAAAGGCCAUACUGACAUAAUGCCGCUGGUUAAGCUGAAGGAGAAAAGUCAGCAGUCAGCAAGCUGAAAGGAAAAGUCAGCAGUGACCUUGCUGCAACAUGAGGAUAAGGAGUAGAGAUUAGUCCUGAAUAUAUCUUAAGAAUAUGUAGAAAGUAUCAAAAGUAGAACCAUAGGAAUGUAGAAGUAGGCGUAGAUGCUGAUAUAUAACUGACCAAUCCUGAGCUCAACUUUUGCAAUAUGUAUGAAGCUCAUUAUUAACUGUAUUUAACUUGCCGUACUGAUCAAUAAAAUUGAGCCUGUGAUGAUCAAA